rnacentral:rRNA from 1 species
GCAUCUGUGCAUGCAGCAUAUCAAUAAGCGGAGGAAAAGAAACUAACAAGGAUUCCCUUAGUAACGGCGAGUGAAGCGGGAAGAGCUCAAAUUUGAAAUCUUCAAGGUUUUACCUUGACGAAUUGUAGUUUAAAGAAGUGUUUUCUGUUGAAGUUUUGGUAAAAGUUCUUUGGAAUAGGACAUCAUAGAGGGUGAGAAUCCCGUAUUUGACCAUUAUUUUCAGCUGUGUGAUACACUUUCAAAGAGUCGGAUUGUUUGGGAAUGCAGUCCAAAAUGGGUGGUAAAUUUCAUCUAAAGCUAAAUAUUGGCGAGAGACCGAUAGCGAACAAGUACCGUGAGGGAAAGAUGAAAAGAACUUUGAAAAGAGAGUUAAACAGUACGUGAAAUUGUCAAAAGGGAAGCGUUUGACACCAGUGUUGUUUUCUCGAAAAUCAAUUAAAAAGAGUUAGAUUUUGUUGUGUAUUGACCUUAACAGCUUGCAUUUCAAUUUUCUUGCUUUUUUUAAUGCACUUUUCGUUUAACAAGUCAACAUCAGUUUCUUUUGUUGUAAAAAGGUCAUUGGAAGGUGGCUUUCUUUUCGGAGAAAGUGUUUAUAGCCUUUGACUCCUGCAAUCGGAGAGACUGAGGUCUGCAGCGUAGAUCCUUCGGGGUUAGAUACAUUUGUGCUAAGUUAUAGCUUUUUAUAGACAACUUGUUGACUAUGAUUAGUCUUGUAGCUUACUCGCUUAUGCUAUUUUACCUACGCUUAGGAUGUUGACACACGCGCGUGCUCG